AUGACAUCUAAUGAGAGAAGAGAUCCACAAAGGGUGAAGUGGGGGGAAGGUCAAGUCUGGCAUCAGGUCUGCUCUGAAAGGAAAGUGGCCGCCAGCAGUUCCUACAUCUGCAGGAAGAGCUCGUCUCCCUCACCAGUUAUUACUUGACCUUUCAUCUUCUGAAGCCCGACUAGCAUGCAGGCAGCUUCCUUGGAAUUUUUAGCUGACAGAUGUGAUCUAAAGUUCCCUGCAGUUGCCUGAAAAUAAAGGAAUCAGAACACAAAAUCUUCCCUGGUCU
rnacentral:lncRNA from 12 species